rnacentral:rRNA from 1 species
AUUGAACGCUGGCGGCAGGCCUAACACAUGCAAGUCGAACGAGUGGCGGACGGGUGAGUAAUGUCUGGGAAACUGCCCGAUGGAGGGGGAUAACUACUGGAAACGGUAGCUAAUACCGCAUACCAUCGGAUGUGCCCAGAUUGGAUUAGCUAGUGGGUGGGGUAACGGCUCACCUAGGCGACGAUCCCUAGCUGGUCUGAGAGGAUGACCAGCCACACUGGAACGGAGACACGGUCCAGACUCCUACGGGAGGCAGCAGUGGGGAAUAUUGCACAAUGGGCGCAAGCCUGAUGCAGCCAUGCCGCGUGUAUGAAGAAGGCCUUCGGGUUGUAAAGUACUUUCAGCGAGGAGGAGUUACUCGCAGAAGAAGCACCGGCUAACUCCGUGCCAGACGCCGCGGUAAUUC